CAAAGAGGUCCUUCUGGCUGUGACAUCUGUUACCCAUUGAUCGUCAGGGUUGAUCUGGCUGAUCUGGCUGGCUAGGCCAGUGUCCCCUUCCUCCCUCACCACUCCAUGUGUCUCCUUCCCGAUACUGCAGGCUCUGUCUGUCGAAGAGGACAACCAGCCCUACUAGAGAAGGACUGGUCUUCGGUCAAGGGUAUAAGAGUAGCUGCGUUCCCCUGCUAGAACUCCAAGGAAGAUCUCAAGGUCCUCUCCAAAUUUGUCAUUGAGAUAAUUCAUGAAAGUCUAGAGGAAUUGUUUUAAACAAGUAUUCAAACUA
ensembl:misc_RNA 7SK 7SK RNA